GAGGGUAUAGCUCUGUGGUAGAGUGUGUGCUUGAUGGCAGAGUGAGUGCUUAGCAUGCACAAGGUCCUGGGUUCAAUUCCCAGUACCUCCA
rnacentral:tRNA from 1 species